rnacentral:rRNA from 1 species
GGAGGUUACUGCUAUCGGUGUUCGCCUAACCCAUGCGAGUCAUAUGUUCUUCGUGAACAUGGCGUACUGCUCAGUAACACGUGAAUAACCUGCCCUUGGGACCGGCAUAACCCCGGGAAACUGGGGAUAAUUCCGGAUACCGCAUAUAUGCUGGAAUGCUUUAUGCGUGAAAUGGAUUCGUCUGCCCAAGGAUGGGUCUGCGGCCUAUCAGGUAGUAGUGGGUGUAAUGUACCUACUACCCUACAACGGGUACGGGUUGUGAAAGCAAGAGCCCGGAAAUGGAUUCUGAAACAUGAAUCCAGGCCCUACGGGGCGCACCAGGCGCGAAAACUUUACAAUGCGGGAAACCGUGAUAAGGGGACACCGAGUGCCACCAACAUUUGUUGGCUGUCCAGGUGUGUAAACUACACCUGUUAGCAAGGGCCGGGCAAGACCGGUGC